rnacentral:ncRNA from 1 species
UUCCCAAAGGGUAAGUAUUACCCUUUGGGAACCAUGUAGCAGGCAGCA